GAUGAACGCUAGCUACAGGCUUAACACAUGCAAGUCGAGGGGCAGCAUGGUCUUAGCUUGCUAAGGCCGAUGGCGACCGGCGCACGGGUGAGUAACACGUAUCCAACCUGCCGUCUACUCUUGGACAGCCUUCUGAAAGGAAGAUUAAUACAAGAUGGCAUCAUGAGUUCACAUGUUCACAUGAUUAAAGGUAUUCCGGUAGACGAUGGGGAUGCGUUCCAUUAGAUAGUAGGCGGGGUAACGGCCCACCUAGUCUUCGAUGGAUAGGGGUUCUGAGAGGAAGGUCCCCCACAUUGGAACUGAGACACGGUCCAAACUCCUACGGGAGGCAGCAGUGAGGAAUAUUGGUCAAUGGGCGAGGGCCUGAACCAGCCAAGUAGCGUGAAGGAUGACUGCCCUAUGGGUUGUAAACUUCUUUUAUAAAGGAAUAAAGUCGGGUAUGUAUACCCGUUUGCAUGUACUUUAUGAAUAAGGAUCGGCUAACUCCGUG
rnacentral:rRNA from 1 species